GCUCACUCUCCUCAGACCACACUGGUCUCCUUCCAGUUCCCAUUUUCGAGGGCUGCCUUGACCUCAGGAUCUUUGCUCUUCCUCCUCACUUUUCCCUUAAUACUUUUCCCCCAAAUACUCACAUGGCUUGCUCCUUCAUUUCCUUAAGUCUCUGCUCAAAUGUCCCUUCUCAGUGAGGCCUUCCCUGACCACUCCAUUUAAAAUUGCAGUGACCUGACCUCCACACCUGCUCUGGCAUCCCCACCACAUCCUGCUUCCCUGCUUAAUAUUUUUCAUAGCACUUACCCCUCCUAGUCUGUGAUAUAAUUUAUUUAUUUAUUUUGUUCAUUGUCUGUCCUCUCCCACUACCACCAUCACCACCACUAUAACGGUAAAUUCUGUAAGUCAGGAAGUUUUGUCUGUAUUAGUCAUUGAUGCUCAGCACCUAAAAGAGUAUCAGGCACAGUCAGCCUCGGACUGCAGCCUGCAAGGCUCUUCUGUCCAUGGGAUUCUCCAAGCAAGAACAUUGGAGUAGGUUACCAUGCCCUCCUCCAGGGGAUCUUCCUGACCCAGGGGUCGAACCUGCAUCUCUAAAGUCUCCUGCGUUGCUGCUUGUGCUGUUCUUCAGAGGCUGCUGCUGCUGCUGCUAAGUCACUUCAGUCGUGUCCGAUUCUGUGCAACCCCAUAGACAGCAGCCAACCAGGCUCCCCCGUCCCUGGGAUUCUCCAGGCAAGAACACUGGAGUGGGUUGCCAUUUCCUACUCCAGUGCAUGAAAGUGAAAAGUGAAAGUGAAGUCGUUCAGUCGUGCCCGACUCUUAGCGACCCCAUGGACUGCAGCCUACCAGGCUCCUCCGUCCAUUGGGUUUUCCAGGAUUCCCUGAUACCUCAGCUGGUAAAGAAUGCACCCGCCAUGCGGGAGACCCUGGUUGGAUCUCUGGGUUGGGAAGAUCCCCCAGAGAAGGGAAUGGCUACCCACUGCAGGAUUGGCCUGGAGAAUCCCAUGGACUCUAAAAGUCCACGGGGUCACAGAGAGUCAGACACAAGAUCCACUCAAGGUUGACUUUUGGCCCCUAUGUGACUUUGGCUGGUUUCCUGACCUGGAUCCUGUGCCUCAGUUCCCACCUCUGGCAGAUACACCCUUAGCCAGGAGAUCCUUGUCCACCCAUGGAGUUGUUGUACCUCACUAUCAGAAAAGACAAUGCUCUGGAUAUAAGUUACAGGGAUCCAAGAACGUAUCCACCAGUGCAAUGUAUUGUAAAUGAAGACAUAAGAAUUUGGGUUUAUAAAUGUCUGCUGUCACCCUGUUUGUUUAACCUAUACACUGAGCACAUCAUGAGAUGCCAGGCUGGAUGAGUUACAAGCUGGAAUCAAGAUAGGUGGGAGAAACAUCAACAACCCUGAGGUUGUUGCGGAUGAUACUACUCUAAUGGCAGAAGUGAACGGUAACUAACGAGCCUCUUGAUGAGGAUGAAGCGGGACAGUGAACAAGCCAGCUUAAAACUAAAUAUUAAAAACACCUAAGAUCAACUAAAUAUUAAAAAAAAAACUAAGAUCAAGGCAUUCGGCCCCAUUACUCCAUGGCAAAUAGAAGGGGAAUUGUGGAAGUGAUGACAGAUUUCCUCUUCUUGGCUCUAAAAUCACUGUGGAUGGUGACUGUAGCCAUGAAAUCAAAAGAUAAUUGCUUCUUGGUAGGAAAGCUAUGACAAACCUAGGCAGUGUGUUGAAAAGCAGAGAUAUCACUCUGCUUACAAAGGUUUGUAGAGUCAAAGCUAUGGUUUUUCCGGUAGUCAUGCAUGAAUUCGAGAGUUGGAUCACAAAGAAGGCUGAGUGCCGAAGAACUGAUGCUUUCGAACACUCUUGAGAGUCCCUUGGACAGCCAGGAGAUCAAACUAGUCAAUCUUAAUGGAAAUCAACCCUGAAUACUUCUUAGAAGGACUGAUGCUGAAGCUAAAGCUCCAGUAUUUUGGUUAUCUGAUGUGAACAGCCAACUCUUGGAAAUGUCCCUGAUGGCGGGAAAUAUUGAGGGCAGAAGGAGAAAAGGGUGUCGGAGGAUGAGCUAGACAGAAGGCAUCACCAAUGCAGUGGACAUGAACUUGGGCAAACUUCAGGAGAUGGUGAGGGACAGGGAAGCCUGGCGUGCUUCAGUCCAUAGGAUCACAAAGAGUUUGACAUGACUAGGUGAC
ensembl:lncRNA